rnacentral:tRNA from 1 species
UCAGACUAUAGCUUAUGAAUUAAAGCUUGUUGUUUACAUUAAUAAGAAAAUAUUUAAUUAUUUUGUCUGAU